GCGAGGCAGUGCUUGAUUUCGUGAACAUCAACACUUUUUUUCAUACUGAGAACUUGGCAACAUCAGCAUGAGUUCUUCCCUUAACUUCUCUUUCUUUCCAAUGGACUUCUUAUUGCGGCUAUUAUGGACAAUGAGAGGGCUUCUGCGAUUUUCUGUUCGUGAGUUUGGAGAUCAGUUCCCCACGACCCGCACCAUGGAUCGGUAAUGGAUUUUUUUUGUUGCAGGUCUAUUUUUCUGAACCUCUCUUUUUAUCUCAGAACUUUUUAAUUUGUUUGUGAGCUUGAGGAGGCUCAGCAAUUAGUAUCAGCACCUCACCACUUCCGCGCGUCCGCUGCAGUCAAGGUGUUUGACCUCCACCUCCCCCGCCUGAUACAGGGCUCGAUGCUGCUAUAAAAUCCCGUGCGAAAUUUUCGAUUCAUGGAGCUAGCUACAACCGAACCAGGUUUGGUAAAAAAAAUGUUGUGCGAUUAUCUCUUCUCUAGUAGAUCUUGGAUCAUCUCUAAUUUUGGUGAUUCCUGCUCCAUUUUCUUGCUGAUGGCAUGUCAUAACACAAUAUAGGUGAUGAAAAGCACCUGAUGAUCCCACUCCGGCGCCUGGUAACUAGGCUCACUAGGAUAGCCCCCAUGGAGACGUCUUGGC
rnacentral:lncRNA from 1 species